CGUACCCAACACGACUAAAGGAGUACAGACUGAGGAAUACUUUUUACCAUUAGAGUUCCCAACUCCACCCCCAGCUGUUUCUGAGGAGAAUAACUUAAGAGUGAAAGAGGAAUUUUCCCAAAAGGAACAGUAUGAUUGGGAUUGGUCUGAUUCUCAGAGACAAGAGAGAGAAUUACUAGAACGAGAACAAGAGCAUGAAGAAAAGCUCAGAAAAGAACAAGAUCUGCUCACAUUGGAAUCGAAAGCGCAAAAACUGAGAGAAAGUAUAAACAGUACCAAAGUCUUCAUUACAGAGUGGAGCUCUCCUACUGAACAUUGUAAGCCCAAGAAGUCUGAGUGCAAGAGUGAGUACACAUAG